GGCGGACGGGUGAGUAAUGCUUAGGAAUCUGCCUUUAGUGGGGGACAACAUUCCGAAAGGAAUGCUAAUACCGCAUACGCCCUACGGGGGAAAGCAGGGGAUCUUCGGACCUUGCGCUAAUAGAUGAGCCUAAGUCAGAUUAGCUAGUUGGUGGGGUAAAGGCCUACCAAGGCGACGAUCUGUAGCGGGUCUGAGAGGAUGAUCCGCCACACUGGGACUGAGACACGGCCCAGACUCCUACGGGAGGCAGCAGUGGGGAAUAUUGGACAAUGGGCGCAAGCCUGAUCCAGCCAUGCCGCGUGUGUGAAGAAGGCCUUUUGGUUGUAAAGCACUUUAAGCGAGGAGGAGGCUACUUGGAUUAAUACUCUUGGAUAGUGGACGUUACUCGCAGAAUAAGCACCGGCUAACUCUGUGCCAGCAGCCGCGGUAAUACAGAGGGUGCGAGCGUUAAUCGGAUUUACUGGGCGUAAAGCGUGCGUAGGCGGCUUUUUAAGUCGGAUGUGAAAUCCCUGAGCUUAACUUAGGAAUUGCAUUCGAUACUGGGAAGCUAGAGUAUGGGAGAGGAUGGUAGAAUUCCAGGUGUAGCGGUGAAAUGCGUAGAGAUCUGGAGGAAUACCGAUGGCGAAGGCAGCCAUCUGGCCUA
rnacentral:rRNA from 1 species